UACGUAGGGCGCAAGCGUUGUCCGGAAUUAUUGGGCGUAAAGAGCUCGUAGGCGGCUUGUCACGUCGGGUGUGAAAGCCCGGGGCUUAACCCCGGGUCUGCAUUCGAUACGGGCAGGCUAGAGUGUGGUAGGGGAGAUCGGAAUUCCUGGUGUAGCAGUGAAAUGCGUAGAUAUCGGAAGGAACAUCAAUGGCGAAGGCGGCACUCUGGGCCGGUACUGACGCUGAGGAGCGAAAGCGUGGGGAGCGAACAGG
rnacentral:rRNA from 1 species